CGGGGCUCGGCUCGGGCUCCGCGGGCGGGCGGGCGGACAUGGCGGCCAACAUGUACCGGGUCGGAGAUUAUGUCUACUUUGAGAAUUCCUCUAGCAAUCCGUACCUCAUCAGAAGGAUAGAAGAACUCAACAAGACUGCAACUGGCAACGUGGAAGCAAAAGUAGUGUGCUUUUAUAGACGACGAGAUAUUUCCAACACGCUUAUAAUGCUUGCAGACAAGCAUGCUAAAGAAAUUGAGGAAGAAUCAGAAACAACAAUUGAGGCUGACCUGACCGAUAAACAGAAACAUCAGUUGAAACAUAGGGAGCUCUUUUUGUCACGCCAGUACGAAUCUCUGCCUGCAACACAUAUCAGGGGGAAAUGCAGUGUUGCCCUUCUGAAUGAGACAGAGUCUGUAUUGUCAUAUCUUGAUAAAGAGGAUACUUUUUUCUACUCAUUGGUCUAUGAUCCUUCAGUGAAGACAUUGUUAGCUGACAAAGGUGAAAUCAGAGUGGGACCUAGAUAUCAAGCAGACAUUCCAGAAAUGCUCUUAGAAGGAGAAUCAGAUGAGAGGGAACAGUCUAAAUUGGAAGUGAAAGUUUGGGACCCAAAUAGCCCACUUACAGAUCGACAGAUUGACCAGUUUUUAGUUGUAGCACGUGCUGUCGGGACAUUUGCUCGAGCCCUUGAUUGCAGCAGUUCUGUAAGGCAGCCUAGUUUGCAUAUGAGUGCAGCUGCAGCUUCUCGAGACAUCACCCUGUUUCAUGCUAUGGAUACGUUGUAUAGGCACAGCUAUGAUUUGAGCAGUGCAAUUAGUGUCUUAGUACCACUUGGGGGACCUGUUUUAUGCAGAGAUGAAAUGGAAGAAUGGUCGGCCUCUGAAGCUAGUUUAUUUGAAGAGGCACUGGAAAAAUAUGGCAAAGACUUCAACGACAUACGUCAAGACUUUCUCCCUUGGAAAUCAUUGACUAGCAUCAUUGAAUAUUAUUACAUGUGGAAAACUACUGACAGAUAUGUGCAGCAGAAACGUCUAAAAGCAGCAGAAGCUGAGAGUAAGCUGAAACAAGUGUAUAUCCCAACUUACAGCAAACCAAAUCCCAACCAAAUAUCCACCAGCAAUGGCAAACCUGGUGCUGUGAAUGGAGCCGUGGGAACUGCAUUCCAGCCGCAGAACCCUCUCCUAGGGCGAGCCUGUGAGAGCUGCUAUGCUACACAGUCUCAUCAGUGGUAUUCUUGGGGCCCACCUAAUAUGCAGUGUAGGUUAUGUGCAACUUGUUGGCUCUAUUGGAAAAAAUACGGAGGCCUGAAAAUGCCCACCCAGUCGGAAGAGGAGAAGUUACCUCCCAGCCCAGCUACAGAGGACCCUCGAGUUCGAAGUCACAUGUCUCGCCAGGCCAUGCAGGGCAUGCCGGUCCGAAACACUGGGAGCCCAAAGUCUGCAGUGAAGACCCGUCAAGCUUUCUUCCUUCACACUACAUAUUUCACAAAAUUUGCUCGUCAGGUCUGCAAAAAUACCCUCCGGCUGCGGCAGGCAGCAAGACGGCCGUUUGUUCCUAUUAAUUAUGCUGCCAUUAGGGCAGAAUAUGCAGACAGACAUGCGGACCUAUCUGGAAGUCCACUGAAAAGCAAAAGCACUAGGAAACCUUUGGCAUGUAUCAUUGGGUAUUUAGAGAUCCAUCCUUCGAAGAAACCUAAUGUAAUUCGAUCUACACCAAGCCUACAAACCCCAACCACCAAGCGGAUGCUAACCACCCCGAAUCACACGUCUCUGAGCAUUUUGGGGAAAAGAAACUACAGUCAUCACAAUGGCCUGGAUGAAAGGCUCAUGAAGUGAAGGCGCAGCUCUGCUCUAUCCUGCAGACCUUCCUCAGGAUGGCGGGAGGCUGUGAAGAAUUCACAUGCUGCGUGUCAGACUGAGCUAUCCCUGUUUAAUCCUAUAAUCCAAGACUUGCUACUCUGUCCUGCUGAUGUUUACGGCCAUGCCACGAGGCAGCCCCUUUCCCAGAGCAUUUCAGUGGGAGACCUCCACGCGCCCCAUGGAGACUCGAUGGGGCAGGGGAAGAGACUGCAGGAGUGUGCGUCCCCAAGGCUGUGUCUCCUCGUGUGAAUCAGUGUCACCUUGCUUUCCUCUCAGAGACCUCGCUGCCCCAGGGGGGACCUGCCUGGGGAAUCGAGGGGCUCGGGGAGCCACUCCGCGUCCCCGCUUCUCCGGCGCUCCGCACCCUGGGCACUGCGGCUCCUGGGGCAGUGGGGCUGCUGCGGGCUCAGAGCCGCUGCUGCCCUGCAUGUGCCAGCUCAGCUCUGUCAUCAGCUGUGUGGAUGUGUACACGAGGGACAUGGCAUCUUUCUGAAUGGAUUUUUCUUAAGAAAUGUGCCAGUGUUUAUGCAGUUCACGAUAUUUCCCCACAUCCUUGCUGUCACUGUCACUCAGCUUUUUCUCAAGAGGCUUCAUUCCCCAUUUUUUUAAUGGGGAAAUUUUUUCCUUCACCCCUUGCGUCCUGUAUUUGACCCCCCCCGCCAAGGUACAGAAUUACCUGCGGUUCUGACAAAACAUAAGAAAGUCAUCUUUGGGAA